rnacentral:lncRNA from 1 species
CAGUAUGCUCAUGUCUCUUUUGUACAGGGGAGACCAGACCUGGACAUAGUACAGAGUGCCCUCAUCGAUGCUGAGUGAAGGGCAAGAAUCACCUCCCUACACUUGCUGGUGGCACUCAUAAUGCAGUCCAGGAUGACAUUGCCUUUCUUUUCUCGUAAGGACAGGGUCUGGCUCAUGUUCAACUUUAUGUCUGCCAGGAGUCCCAGGACUGGUGGCGUGGCUCUCUAUGUUAGAGACUGUUUUGAUGUUAUUGAACUUGCAACUGAGGAAGACAAUGUUGAAUCUCUGUGGGUUAGGAUCAAAGGAAAGGCUGACAAGGCAGACAUCCUGGUGGGGGUCUGUUAUAGACCGCCUAACCAGGAUGAAGAGACAGAUGAGGCGUUCUAUAAACAGCUGGCUGAAGUUGCGUGAUCGCCAGCCCUUGUCCUCAUGGGGGACUUCAACUUCCCUGAUAUAUGCUGGGAAUACAACACGGCGCAGAAGAAGCAGUCUAGAAGGUUUCUAGAGUGUAUGGAAGAGAACUUCCUACAGCAGCUGGUGAGAGAACCUACCAGGGGAGGUGCCCUGCUAGACCUGCUGUUUACAAGCAAGGAAGGUCUGGUGGGAGAUGUGGAAGUUGGGGGCUGCCUUGGACAGAGCGACCAUGAAAUGGUAGAGUUCUCAAUUCUUGGUGGAACCAGGAGAGGGGACAGCAAAACUGCUGCCUUGGACUUCCAGAGGGCAGACUUUGAAUUGUUCAGGAGGCUGGUAGGGAGGGUCCCUUGGGAUUCGGUCCUGGAGGGUAAAGGGGUCCAGGAAGGCUGGUUGCUCCUCAAGAAGGAAGUCCUGAAGGCGCAGGAACAGUCUGUCCCCCUGAGCCGCAAGAUGAGCCAGUGGGGAAGAAGACCGGUGUGGAUGAACAGGGAGCUCUUCCUGAGGCUCCAGGAGAAAAAGAGAAUCUACCUCCUGUGGAAGAAGGGACAGGCAACUCAGAAAGAGUACAAAGAGGUUGUUAGGAUGUGCAGGGAGAAAACUAGAAAGGCAAAGGCACAGCUUGAACUAAGCUUGGCUGCUGGGAUUAAAGGAAACAAGAACCGCUUCUACAAAUAUAUUAAGAGUAAGAGGGGGACCAAGGAGAAUCUCCGUUCUUUACUGGAUGCAGCUGGGACUGUGGCCACUGAGGACAAUGAAAAGGCUGAGGUUCUCAAUGCCAUUUUUACGUCUGUCUUUAAAAGGCAGAGCAGUUGUCCUCAGAGCACUGUACUCUCUGACCUGGAGGUCUCGGAUGGGGAGCAAAAUAACCCCCCCAUGAUUCAGGAGGAAACGGUCAGAGACCUACUACUCCACCUGGACUGCCACAAGUCCAUGGGGCCAGACGAGAUCCACCCGAGAGUACUGAGGGAGCUGGCGGAGGAGAUAGCCAAGCCGCUUUCCAUCAUCUAUCGGCGUUCCUGGUCAACUGGAGACGUCCCAGAAGACUGGAGACUUGCCAAUGUGACUCCCAUCUACAAGAAGGGUCGUAAGGAGGAUCCGGGGAACUACAGGCCUGUCAGCCUGACCUUGGUGCCAGGGAAGGUUAUGGAGCAGAUUGUCUUGAGGGAGAUCACGUGGCAUUUGCGGGACAACUGGGGGAUCAGGCCCAGCCAGCAUGGGUUUGUGAAGGGCAGGUCCUGCUUGACCAACCUGAUCUUCUAUGAUUGAGUGACCCACCUGGUGGAUGAGGGACAGGCUGUUGAUGUGGUCUACCUAGACUUCAGCAAAGCCUUUGACACUGUCUCCCACAGUAUUCUCCUGGAGAAACUGGCAGCCCGUGGCUUGGACCGGUACACUCUUCGCUGGGUGAGGAGCUGGCUGGAGGGCCGGGCCCAGAGAGUGGUGGUGAAUGGAGUUAAAUCCAGCUGGUGACCGGAC